rnacentral:rRNA from 1 species
CCGGACCGGCGCACGGGUGAGUAACACGUAUGCAACCUGGCCGUCACAGGUGGAUAACCGGAAGAAAUUCCGACUAAUACAGCAUAACACUCCUGAGGGACAUCCCUUGGGAGUCAAAGGAGGCAACUCCGGUGACGGAUGGGCAUGCGGCGCAUUAGGUAGUUGGUAGGGUAACGGCCUACCAAGCCGACGAUGCGUAGGGGUUCUGAGAGGAAGGUCCCCCACAUUGGAACUGAGACACGGUCCAAACUCCUACGGGAGGCAGCAG